AGCAGGGUGGCUCAGUGGAAAGAGCACAGGCUUGGGAGUCAGAGGUCCAAGGUUCUAAUCCUGGCUCCGCCA
rfam:Ornithorhynchus anatinus chromosome 5, whole genome shotgun sequence.